rnacentral:lncRNA from 1 species
GGCGUCCUGCCAGCGGGGCGCCCCCGGCCUGAGACUCCCUGGAAGCCUCGUCCGCGAGUCGCGGACUCGGGGCCCGGAGGGCGGCGGGAGGUCCUGCGCUGCGGUGCGGCUAUAGCGCCCGCGCUCCCCGCGGAAGAACCGCCGAGUCGAGCGCUGAAGGUGUGGCCCACCAGCAGGAGUGUCAGAACGUGCCGAGCCGCUCGAGUCGGAGUCGCCAGAACCCCCGGAAGACGAGCCGUUCACCGGCAGGCCAACUGGGGCUUCUUCGUGUAGUGGACUGACAGCCAAGCGUCGGGAACGCAGUGUCGUGGGUGUGCGGCUGACCGGGUGAGGAGGAUCUUUCACAGAGACCGUGCCCCUCCGUGGAGUCCAGGAACAGGGCCUCAAACCUGCGUCCUCAUGGAUACUAGUCAAAUUUGUUUCCCCUGAGCCAGGACAGGAACUCCCUUCAAGGAUAUUUGUUUGUUUGAUUCUUUCUGCUUUUUUGUUUUUUCUAGGGCCACACCCACAGCGUGUGGAGGUUCGCAAGCUAGGGGUCCAGUCGGAGCUGUCGCCGCCAGCCUAUACCACAGCCACAGCCACGCAGGAUCUGAGCUGCAUCUGCACCCUACACCACAGCUCGCAGCAACACUGGAUCCCCAACCCACUGAACCAGGCCAGGGAUCGAAUUGCAACCUCAUGGUUCCUAGUCAGGUUCAUUAACCACUGAGCCAUGACAGGAACUCUGCUUCAAGGAUAUUUGGAAGCAUCUAUAUUUAUGGCCCAUCUCAGAAUGCAAAAGGUUUUUAAAAAUGUAAACCUCUUUGCCUUUUGGAGUGUAAAUAUUUGGGGGCUUAAGAGUCUGAUGCAUCUGUGUGCGACAGAGCUGGUCUCAGCAGGCACCUCACUGGGCUCUCAUGAGGGGAUUUCUUUCACGGAACCGUCUUUGGUAUGUAGCAGGUGUUCGUAGGUGUUAGUCAUUGCCGUUACUGUCUGUAUCACUGCCAUCAUCAAAGCCUGACAAGGCAAGGCUUCCAGGCCUCGCACUGCCAUGAAAGAGUUGGGCGGAGCAAGGCCUGUGCGUUGGGUCUCUGAGCCUCACUUCCUGAGUGGGCAACAUGAAAAUUGAUGCCCGCUUCAAGGGUUGCUGUGACCGUUACACCAGUGUGGAUGGGAAAGCAGUUGUUUCAAGAAGCAUCAAAGGUUAAUAACACCUGGAACGUUUUCCAGAAGAAAGUUAAAUACAGGAUGGCCUGAUGCGUUCCCCACAGGGUGUACUCUUUGCUUCCGUUUCAUUCGUGUUCAACAAGAUGCGCGUUCAGGCCAUGCUCCAUUUCUGCAGCAAAAAAGGCACUUUGCAGCUAUAUUCUUUGCACGUGAUGCUGAGUAGUAUUUCAGAGCCAGGCCUUAGAAACUUCAAGGCCUGGGAGUUCCUUCGUGGCUCUGGUUAACGAACCCGACUAGGAUCCGUGAGGACUCAGGUUUGAUCCCUGGCCUUGCUCAGUGGGUUAAGGAUCUGGCAUUGCUAUGAGCUGUGGUGUAGGUCACAGACAUGGCUUGGAUCCCAUCAUUUUGCUGUGGCUGUGGCAUAGGGUGGCAGCUGCAGCUCCAAUUUGACCCCUAUCUUGGGAACUUCCAUAUGCCUCUGGUAUGGCCCUAAAAAGACCAAAAAAAAAUUAGCAAAGGAGUUCCUGCUGCAGUGCAAUGAGAUUUAAGUGUCUGUAGCACCAGGACACAGGUUCAACUCCCUGCCCCUCAGAGAGGGCUAAAGGAUCCAGCAUUACCGAAGCUUCAGCGUAGGUCAGCUUCAGCUGUGUCUCAGAUCUGAUCCAUGGCCCGGGAGCUUCAUGCGCUGCAAAGUGGCCAAAAAAUUUAAAAAGGAAAAAGUUCUUGUCGUGUCUCAGCAGUAACAAACCUGAUUAGUCAUGAGGAUGUGGGUUCAAUCCCUGGCCCGGCUCAGUGGGUUAACAUUCUGCUGUUGCCAUGGGCUGUGGUGUAGGUUGCAUAUGUGGUUUGGAUUUGAUCUCUAGUCUGGGAACUUCCAUAGCCCUCCAAAAAAAAAAAAAAAAAA